UUUCGAAUCAUCCACAAUGGGCGAAAGCCUGAUGGUGCGACGCCGCGUGAGGGAUGAAGGCCUUCGGGUUGUAAACCUCUGUCGUUAAGGAGCAAAGGCUAGGUUCAUAGCCUAGUUUGAGUUAACUUAAAAAGGAAGCAGUGGCUAACUCCGUGCCAGCAGCCGCGGUAAUACGGAGACUGCGAGCGUUACUCGGAUUCACUGGGCGUAAAGGGUGCGCAGGCGGUUAAUUGUGUCAGGUGUGAAAUCCCGGAGCUCAACUCCGGAACUGCGCCUGAAACUGAUUGACUAGAGGCUCGGAAAGGUAAGCGGAAUUCCAGGUGUAGCGGUGAAAUGCGUAGAUAUCUGGAGGAACACCAAAGGCGAAGGCAGCUUACUAGACGAGAUCUGACGCUCAGGCACGAAAGCGUGGGGAGCAAACAGGAUUAGAUACCCCUGUAGUCCCUGAGCGGGCUGGCAAGGCGCAU
rnacentral:rRNA from 1 species